rnacentral:rRNA from 1 species
UAGGGAAUCUUCCGCAAUGGACGCAAGUCUGACGGAGCAACGCCGCGUGAGUGAAGAAGGAUUUCGGUUCGUAAAACUCUGUUGUUAGAGAAGAACAGCGCAUAGAGUAACUGUUAUGCGUGUGACGGUAUCUAACCAGAAAGCCACGGCUAACUACGUGCCAGCAGCCGCGGUCAUACGUAGGUGGCAAGCGUUGUCCGGAUUUAUUGGGCGUAAAGCGAGCGCAGGCGGUCAAUUAAGUCUGAUGUGAAAGCCCCCGGCUCAACCGGGGAGGGUCAUUGGAAACUGGUUGACUUGAGUGCAGAAGAGGAGAGUGGAAUUCCAUGUGUAGCGGUGAAAUGCGUAGAUAUAUGGAGGAACACCAGUUGCGAAGGCGACUCUCUGGUCUGUAACUGACGCUGAGGCUCGAAAGCGUGGGUAGCAAACAGG